rnacentral:lncRNA from 1 species
AGGAUUCCCAGCACUUAGCUGGUGGGCAAAGGGGUUCAACCCCUUCCCCACACCCCACCUUCCCUCCUCCCAGUCUUCGGGAUUGCGGAGCUCCUGCCGGGAUCCAAGAGCAGGCUCUUGGAGGUCGAAGAAGGAUAUAACCUCCAGACCUGGAAUUUAAGACGCAAGAACCAGCCAGCAAAAGUGGCAGCCGAGCAUGCGAGGGACUGCUGAUGGCUUUUUAUUAGGAAGCUAUGCAACUUGAGGUUCUACUGAAAAGGAGAAGAGGCCACUGGAGAUGGGAAGCCACGAAAACAUGAAGAUGUAGAAGUCUCAGCUCCUUCAAUGCUAUGUCUGCCAAGAUGCUGCCACACUCCCUUCUUGAUGAUAAUGGACUGAACCUCUGAACCUGGACGAGAAACUACAGCAUUACUUCUGCAGAUUCACAAAGGAGUCCACGUUCCAAGAUGAGAGAAAUACCAGAAGCCGAUGGCUAUUCUACUUGACUGAAUGAAAAGAAAAGGAAGGCACUUCCUGUCAAUCCUGCUUUGGAUUCCUAGACAGUUUAAGAAGCACCAUUGAUCUGAUCAUUGGCACUGAGGAGGAAAUGCCCAUCCGCAGAAGACAUGCAGGGCUCAACCCAGCUUGACAUGGGCAGUGGAGUGGGCAGAAGACAGCAGCCCCAGGGCUUGAGCCUCCCUUCACAGUGGGUACCUGGCACAGGCAGACAACAAGCAGUGAGUGGGCCAGCAGAAUGGAACGGCUUGGUCAGCACAGGCGCUUUCAUCAGAUGAAGUGGGGUCACCUUUUACACUCCUGUUAACUCCUUGGGUGGAAUUACCCAACGGAAUGAAAAUUGGAUGGAGUUAUGGCGGGACACUCUUACUGGACACUGAAACCAUCCUGCAGCAAAUUGCUUCUGUGAAAUCUUUCUGCUGUUUGGGAGGUAUCCUUCUAUAGCACAGAAACGGAAACUUCAGCCAGAAGAGAGGAAUUCAGUGACUCCAUGCCAACAGAAACAGAGCUCUGCAUUUGUUUCCUGAGCCUACUUGCACUUGGAAGGUUUCUUUCCUCACAAGAAACAUGUGUUACAGGAUAUAAAAGUGGCUUUCCGUUUGGGGUUAGAACCCGAAACAGAAAGACAACAGAGAAAAAUUUCAGCUCAGCCUUUCUAGAUUGGAAAUGAUGCAUGAAUGUUGUUGUUUCUCCAAGACUUCAGCACAGGUAUAACAUGGUGCUAAUUUAAUCACCCGGUGAAUCACCUUUUCUCUGUGAGAUGUUAACACUGAUGUAAGAUGUUUCCAUGUGAGGAACGGGAAAGACUUGAGACACAAAAAAGCUUCAAGGAUUGGUAAAUAGAAUAAUGUGGUCUGUACCCCACUAAUUUUUCUUGCCAUCCAUGAGAGGCCCGAUGGGCUGCAGCAAUGCAUCAUUUAGAUCGCCCCUUCAGCUGGUUCAUGGAAAACUAACAAAAAUUGAUGUUGUUAUCUGGGGUUUUCGUGUGUGAUUUGUCUAACUCUUUACAUUCAUUAUGGGUUUUGCCCUUCUUUAAUAAAAUGGCCUGAUAUUGCCUUCA